GUAUAUUCUCUAGGACCCCACCUGGAAAACUCAUCCCGGAAUCCGACAGGCAGAUGCUUCCUGGAGGGGAGGUAAGUCUCUCCAUGUGUGGUAGACUGGCUAGAGCCCUGUACUUAAAUACAAGAAGUCCUAGACAAUGAUUAGAGAAUAGAAAUACAAGUGAAGGAAUCAAGGUAAGGAUAAAGCUUUGAGAGAAUCAACUUUCACAAGGAUUACAGCACCAGGAGAAAAGUUAUUCACCAUUUGAAAGAAAACAGAGCCAUUGCAACAAAGAGCACAGUAAAAUAGAGGAAAUCUGGAAAUUUGGGCAGUGCUUUGUUCUUUGACUCGCUCUAUUUUUGC